AGUGAACGCUGGCGGUAGGCCUAACACAUGCAAGUCGAACGAGUGGCGGACGGGUGAGGAAUACAUCAGAAUCUACUCUGUCGUGGGGGAUCACGUAGGGAAAAUUACGCUAAUUACGCCUACGCUUGAAUGAGCCGAUGUCGGAUUAGCUAGUUGGCGGGGUAAAGGCCCACCAGGGCGACGAUCCGUAGCUGGGCUGAGAGGAUGAUCGGCCAAACUGGAAUGGGGACACGGUCCAGACUCUAACGGAAGGCAGCAGUGGGGAAUAUUGGACAAGGGGCGAAAGCCGGAUCCAGCAAGACCGCGUGGGUGAGGCGGGCCUUCGGGUGGGAAAGCCCGUUUGUUGGGACAGCGGUACCCAAAUAGUAAGCAACGGCUAACUUCGUGCCAGCAGCCGCGGUAAUAC
rnacentral:rRNA from 1 species